rnacentral:ncRNA from 1 species
GUCCCAGCUUAAUGUUUUAUCUAAAAAGAUAAAGCAAAAAAUAAGUUUGGAUCUACAUGCGCUUUCACUACGGGAGCAUCGCUCUCAUAAAAUACAGCCUCAACAGCAAUGAAGGGGCAGUGAAUAUUAUUAAGUGAAAGAGCUACUGGUU